CCUGAAUCAGUGUGUGUGUUAGUGGAAGCGUCUGGAAAGGCGCGCGAUACAGGGUGACAGCCCCGUACACAAAAAUGCACAUGCUGUGAGCUCGAUGAGUAGGGCGGGACACGUGGUAUCCUGUCUGAAUAUGGGGGGACCAUCCUCCAAGGCUAAAUACUCCUGACUGACCGAUAGUGAACCAGUACCGUGAGGGAAAGGCGAAAAGAACCCCGGCGAGGGGAGUGAAAAAGAACCUGAAACCGUGUACGUACAAGCAGUGGGAGCACGCUUAGGCGUGUGACUGCGUACCUUUUGUAUAAUGGGUCAGCGACUUAUAUUCUGUAGCAAGGUUAACCGAAUAGGGGAGCCGAAGGGAAACCGAGUCUUAACUGGGCGUUAAGUUGCAGGGUAUAGACCCGAAACCCGGUGAUCUAGCCAUGGGCAGGUUGAAGGUUGGGUAACACUAACUGGAGGACCGAACCGACUAAUGUUGAAAAAUUAGCGGAUGACUUGUGGCUGGGGGUGAAAGGCCAAUCAAACCGGGAGAUAGCUGGUUCUCCCCGAAAGCUAUUUAGGUAGCGCCUCGUGAAUUCAUCUCCGGGGGUAGAGCACUGUUUCGGCAAGGGGGUCAUCCCGACUUACCAACCCGAUGCAAACUGCGAAUACCGGAGAAUGUUAUCACGGGAGACACACGGCGGGUGCUAACGUCCGUCGUGAAGAGGGAAACAACCCAGACCGCCAGCUAAGGUCCCAAAGUCAUGGUUAAGUGGGAAACGAUGUGGGAAGGCCCAGACAGCCAGGAUGUUGGCUUAGAAGCAGCCAUCAUUUAAAGAAAGCGUAAUAGCUCACUGGUCGAGUCGGCCUGCGCGGAAGAUGUAACGGGGCUAAACCAUGCACCGAAGCUGCGGCAGCGACACUAUGUGUUGUUGGGUAGGGGAGCGUUCUGUAAGCCUGUGAAGGUGUGCUGUGAGGCAUGCUGGAGGUAUCAGAAGUGCGAAUGCUGACAUAAGUAACGAUAAAGCGGGUGAAAAGCCCGCUCGCCGGAAGACCAAGGGUUCCUGUCCAACGUUAAUCGGGGCAGGGUGAGUCGACCCCUAAGGCGAGGCCGAAAGGCGUAGUCGAUGGGAAACAGGUUAAUAUUCCUGUACUUGG
rnacentral:rRNA from 1 species